rnacentral:rRNA from 1 species
UACGGAGGGUGCGAGCGUUGUCCGGAAUCACUGGGCGUAAAGGGCGCGUAGGCGGCCGAGGCAGUCAGUGGUGAAAGCCCGGGGCUCAACUCCGGGUCGGCCACUGAUACUCUUCGGCUCGAGUGUGGUAGAGGCAGGUGGAAUUCCGGGAGUAGCGGUGGAAUGCGUAGAGAUCCGGAAGAACACCGGUGGCGAAGGCGGCCUGCUGGGCCACUACUGACGCUGAGGCGCGACAGCGUGGGGAGCAAACAGG